UCCUGUAAUGCUCUUCUUUCUUCUUCGAGCUUUCUUGCUUAUUUUUCUUCCUCCAACGAUUCAAAGCUUUCUUAUUUCACUUCUUCCACCGAUUCAAAGGAAGUCACAACCACGAACAGUUGAAGCGUCCUCCACUGAUUCAGAGAACUAUAAAGCCAGCCACGAACAGAGGUUGAUUUGAAUAGUCGAUCGAUUCAGAGAGAUCGAUUUGAAAAGGCGAACCUGUGAAAACCCCACCGAUUUGAAGCCAAAGUGUUUGCCUUGAAGCCAGAGAUUAGAGUUCAAUCGAAUACAUACUGUUUUGCUCCUGGUAUCCGCUCCUGGCAGGAUAUGUUGGGGAAGAUGUGGAAUCCAUAUUGUACAAGCUUCUUAGGGAACUCAAAGCACAAGGUGUUCCAGAAGAUCAGCUAGAGCUUCUUAAGGGAGUGAGUGGAGCUUUCAGGCCAGGAGUCCUUACAGCUCUUAUGCGUGUCAGUGGUGCUGGUAAGACCACUCUGAUGAAUGUCUUAGCUGGGAGGUUGGUGCAUUUGAUGCCUUUGAUGAGGUGAAACAUGUUCAAUUCAAAAAAAAAAAA